UGAUAUAGAUACAAUCCUAUUUGAUCUCUCAGAAUUGGAAACCCAUGAUUCUCACUUCACAUAUCCUCUAGAUUUUCAAACUCAUUGAUUUCAUCUGUUCGUUACUUUCAAAUCCAACUAUAUCAUGAACUUACUAAGUUUGUCAUAAACUUCCAAGGCUUACCAACCUGAACAAUCUGUCACAAACAUGUACACGACAUUUAGAG
rnacentral:lncRNA from 1 species